rnacentral:rRNA from 1 species
CANGGCASANGUUCSCGAGGCAAGCAAAUCCCAUAAACCGUGGCUCAGUUCAGAUCGUAGGCUGCAACUCGCCUACGUGAAGGAGGAAUCGCUAGUAAUCGCAGGUCAGCAUACUGCGGUGAAUACGUUCCCGGGCCUUGUACACACCGCCCGUCACACCAUGGAAGUUGGCCACGCCCGAAGCCGUUACUCCAACCCUUGUGGAGGAGGACGUCGAAGGUGGGGCUGAUGACUGGGGUGAAGUCGUAACAAGGUAGCCGUACCGGAAGGUGCGGCUGGAUCACCUCCUAA